GACGAACGCUGGCGGCGUGCUUAACACAUGCAAGUCGAACGAGACGAUUGAAAGCUUGCUUUUAAAAGUCGAGUGGCAAACGGGUGAGUAACGCGUAGACAACCUGCCUUUGAGAUGGGGACAACAGUUCGAAAGGACUGCUAAUACCGAAUGUUGUAUAUUUUCCACAUGGAAGAUAUAUUAAAGAUGGCCUCUAUUUAUAAGCUAUCGCUCAAAGAUGGGUCUGCGUCUGAUUAGCUAGUUGGUGGGGCAACGGCCUACCAAGGCGACGAUCAGUAGCCGGUCUGAGAGGAUGAACGGCCACAUUGGGACUGAGACACGGCCCAGACUCCUACGGGAGGCAGCAGUGGGGAAUCUUCCACAAUGGACGAAAGUCUGAUGGAGCAACGCCGCGUGAGUGAAGAAGGGUUUCGGCUCGUAAAGCUCUGUUGUCGGGGACGAAUGUGCAGUAUUUGAAUAAAGUACUGCAAUGACGGUACCUGACGAGGAAGCCACGGCUAACUACGUGCCAGCCGCCGCGGUAA
rnacentral:rRNA from 1 species